UCAGUCUUCAGAUGCACAGUUGGUAAACAGUGCUGCAUGUCGUCCAGUGAGAGAAAGCGUACAGUGGAUAGCCUCAGAAUUUUGACAGAUUCUGCGAGAAAAGAGCCUAGUAUCUGUCCAUUCUUAAAAAUAAUGGACAGCAAUUGUCAACUUAUUGGACACCUACAGGUAGGCCUAACCUUUUCACUACAAGUUGACUUUCUUCUAUAUAAAAGCCUAAAAAGACAAAGGAUUGCGUAACAAAAAUGUUUUAAUUGAACUUAUUGCAUUGCGUACCAAUAACAAACUUAUAUAGAUCUAGAUCUAGUCCUAUUACCCGACUAAACCACAUGAUAUUGAUAAGCAAAGACGAAAAUAAAAACACGAUAUAAUGGGACACAGUAUACAGUGAGAAGCGAGUAUAUAAUUUAUUAUUCGGACACAAAUCAUUAUUCGAGAACAAAUAAUACAAAACUUCAAGUAGCUGACAACCGAGCCCCUGUGAACCGAAUAUCUCUCACGGGGGGGUUAUAAACUAUCAAACGAAUGUAUGUAUGAAGAGGAAUAUUAUACCACAAUGGACUGCUAUGACGUAGUGGGACAUAUCUACAUGAUAAUAUUAGAAGUAUUCUCUUCAAGUUCAACUUCUCGUCUUUAACUGAACACGGUUCGACUU